UUCAGUGGGGGGUGGGAGAUAAAGAAGGGAGGCUGGGCAGGUAGGAAAACUUGGACUCUGAAUCCGACUCCACCACCAUCCGUCCACAUUCAGGAGCCUGAACAAAUCAUUCAAUCUGGAGCAUCUCAUCACUGAUGAUAAACCCUGACCGCCCUCUCGACACAACGGUCCAGGAUGCAGACCUAUGCCUCUCUCUUGUUUCCGUUUCAAACAAGCCUCAUUGGUGUCCCAUUCUAGAAGGACACUGUAUUCAGCGAGCUCCACGUGGGAAAGUACAGUGAGGGACAUCAGAACACGUUGAAAUUGAGUAAAUUCAACUAAAAGAACAAAAAUAAAUAUUUUCCCCAUAACCUGAAUCCUAAACACAAGUCAAAUAUUUCAUCCGGUACUCACCUGGAAACAACCAUCUAUUCCAACUCUGAGGUAAACUGCGUUGUCUCAUUACGUGUGCACAAAAUCACACACAGACGGAUUAUGGGCGACUGGAUGGUGAUUUCGACCACACUGAGCUUUCCCCUUACUCACUGACCUUAGGACCUAACCCUGCCCCUCCGACGCUCCGCUGACUCAAGCUCAACCCACUGAUGCUGAAGAGCUAAUAGUCAGUCAUCUAUUCGUGCGGCCCCUAUGCGCAGAUAUUUGCAUUGGAAAAGCAACGCUUUAUCCAGAAGGAAUAACAAUGUUGCAGAUGCAAUGUUUACUAAGGGGUGGCCUUUUAGCCAGUCUCCUACCCGUACAGCCGACCUUGAAUUCUGUCUUCUUCAGGUUUAUUAAAGGGACCUGGGCUGGUCCAACAAGG